ACASCGGGUAUUUGCCUCAGUACGGCGAGUGAAGCGGCAAAAGCUCAAAUUUGAAAUCUAGCACCUUCGGUGUUCGAGUUGUAAUUUGAAGAUGGUAACCUUGGGUUUGGCUCUUGUCUAUGUUCCUUGGAACAGGACGUCAUAGAGGGUGAGAAUCCCGUCUGAUGAGAUGCCCAUUCCUAUGUAAGGUGCUAUCGAARAGUCGAGUUGUUUGGGAAUGCAGCUCUAAGUGGGUGGUAAAUUCCAUCUAAAGCUAAAUAUUGGCGAGAGACCGAUAGCGAACAAGUACAGUGAUGGAAAGAUGAAAAGAACUUUGAAAAGAGAGUGAAAAAGUACGUGAAAUUGUUGAAAGGGAAGGGCAUUAGAUCAGACUUGGUGUUUUACGAUUAUCUUCUCUUCUUGAGUUGUGCACUCGUAUUUCACUGGGCCAGCAUCGAUUCGGAUGGCAAGAUAAUAGCAGUUGAAUGUGGCUUCACUUCGGUGGAGUGUUAUAGCUUCUGUUGAUAUUGCCUGUCUGGAUCGAGGGCUGCGUCUUUUGACUAGGAUGCUGGCGUAAUGAUCUAAUGCCGCCCGUCUUGAAACACGGACMA
rnacentral:rRNA from 1 species